GACGAACGCUGGCGGCGUGCUUAACACAUGCAAGUCGAACGGAAAGGCCCUGCUUUUGUGGGGUGCUCGAGUGGCGAACGGGUGAGUAACACGUGAGUAACCUGCCCUUGACUUUGGGAUAACUUCAGGAAACUGGGGCUAAUACCGGAUAGGAGCUCCUGCUGCAUGGUGGGGGUUGGAAAGUUUUGGCGGUUGGGGAUGGACUCGCGGCUUAUCAGCUUGUUGGUGGGGUAGUGGCUUACCAAGGCUUUGACGGGUAGCCGGCCUGAGAGGGUGACCGGCCACAUUGGGACUGAGAUACGGCCCAGACUCCUACGGGAGGCAGCAGUGGGGAAUAUUGCACAAUGGGCGGAAGCCUGAUGCAGCAACGCCGCGUGCGGGAUGACGGCCUUCGGGUUGUAAACCGCUUUCGCCUGUGACGAAGCGUGAGUGACGGUAAUGGGUAAAGAAGCACCGGCUAACUACGUGCCAGCAGCCGCGGUGAUACGUAGGGUGCGAGCGUUGUCCGGAUUUAUUGGGCGUAAAGGGCUCGUAGGUGGUUGAUCGCGUCGGAAGUGUAAUCUUGGGGCUUAACCCUGAGCGUGCUUUCGAUACGGGUUGACUUGAGGAAGGUAGGGGAGAAUGGAAUUCCUGGUGGAGCGGUGGAAUGCGCAGAUAUCAGGAGGAACACCAGUGGCGAAGGCGGUUCUCUGGGCCUUUCCUGACGCUGAGGAGCGAAAGCGUGGGGAGCGAACAGGCUUAGAUACCCUGGUAGUCCACGCUGUAAACGGUGGGUACUAGGUGUGGGGUCCAUUCCACGGGUUCCGUGCCGUAGCUAACGCUUUAAGUACCCCGCCUGGGGAGUACGGCCGCAAGGCUGAAACUCAAAGGAAUUGACGGGGCCCCGCACAAGCGGCGGAGCAUGCGGAUUAAUUCGAUGCAACGCGUAGAACCUUACCUGGGUUUGACAUGGAUCGGGAGUGCUCAGAGAUGGGUGUGCCUCUUUUGGGGUCGGUUCACAGGUGGUGCAUGGCUGUCGUCAGCUCGUGUCGUGAGAUGUUGGGUUAAGUCCCGCAACGAGCGCAACCCUUGUUCACUGUUGCCAGCACGUUAUGGUGGGGACUCAGUGGAGACCGCCGGGGUCAACUCGGAGGAAGGUGGGGAUGACGUCAAGUCAUCAUGCCCCUUAUGUCCAGGGCUUCACGCAUGCUACAAUGGCUGGUACAGAGAGUGGCGAGCCUGUGAGGGUGAGCGAAUCUCGGAAAGCCGGUCUCAGUUCGGAUUGGGGUCUGCAACUCGACCUCAUGAAGUCGGAGUCGCUAGUAAUCGCAGAUCAGCAACGCUGCGGUGAAUACGUUCCCGGGGCU
rnacentral:rRNA from 1 species